UUCCCCUAGUAACUGCGAGUGAAGCGGGAAAAGCUCAAAUUUAAAAUCUGGCGGUCUCUGGCCGUCCGAGUUGUAAUCUAGAGAAGUGUUACCCGCGCUGGACCGUGUACAAGUCCCCUGGAAUGGGGCGUCAUAGAGGGUGAGAAUCCCGUCUCUGACACGGACUACCAGGGCUUUGUGGUAUGCUCUCAAAGAGUCGAGUUGUUUGGGAAUGCAGCUCAAAAUGGGUGGUAAAUUCCAUCUAAAGCUAAAUAUUGGCGAGAGACCGAUAGCGAACAAGUACCGUGAGGGAAAGAUGAAAAGAACUUUGGAAAGAGAGUUAAACAGUACGUGAAAUUGCUGAAAGGGAAACGCUUGAAGUCAGUCGCGUUGGCCGGGAAUCAGCCUCGCUUUUGUGUGGUGUACUUUCUGGUUGACGGGUCAGCAUCAAUUUUGACUGCUGGAAAAAGGCUUGGGGAAUGUGGCAGCUCCGGCUGUGUUAUAGCCCCUUGUCACAUACAGCGGUUGGGAUUGAGGAACUCAGCACGCCGCAAGGCCGGGUUUCGACCACGUUCGUGCUUAGGAUGCUGGCAUAAUGGCUUUAAGCGACCCGUCUUGAAACACGGACCAAGGAGUCUAACAUGCCUGCGAGUGUUUGGGUGGAAAACCCGAGCGCGUAAUGAAAGUGAAAGUUGAGAUCCCUGUCGUGGGGAGCAUCGACGCCCGGACCAGAACUUUUGGGACGGAUCCGCGGUAGAGCAUGUAUGUUGGGACCCGAAAGAUGGUGAACUAUGCCUGAAUAGGGUGAAGCCAGAGGAAACUCUGGUGGAGGCUCGUAGCGAUUCUGACGUGCAAAUCGAUCGUCAAAUUUGGGUAUAGGGGCGAAAGACUAAUCGAA
rnacentral:rRNA from 1 species